GAUGAACGCUGGCGGCGUGCCUAACACAUGCAAGUCGAGCGAUUUACUUCGGUAAAGAGCGGCGGACGGGUGAGUAACGCGUGGGUAACCUGCCCUGUACACACGGAUAACAUACCGAAAGGUAUGCUAAUACGAGAUAAUAUGCUUUUAUCGCAUGGUAGAAGUAUCAAAGCUUUUGCGGUACAGGAUGGACCCGCGUCUGAUUAGCUAGUUGGUAAGGUAACGGCUUACCAAGGCGACGAUCAGUAGCCGACCUGAGAGGGUGAUCGGCCACAUUGGAACUGAGACACGGUCCAAACUCCUACGGGAGGCAGCAGUGGGGAAUAUUGCACAAUGGGCGAAAGCCUGAUGCAGCAACGCCGCGUGAGCGAUGAAGGCCUUCGGGUCGUAAAGCUCUGUCCUCAAAGAAGAUAAUGACGGUACUUGAGGAGGAAGCCCCGGCUA
rnacentral:rRNA from 1 species